CUCAAACUCACAUAACUGAUAAGACCAGGGCUUGUUUGCAUUUCAGUACUUUUUCCUACCAGUCUCUAACAGAUACCAACAGAGAGUAUUCUUCCUCUUUGGAGCCUCAGUCCAUCUGGAGUCUCAGACAGCUCUGGGCUGAUUUUCUCCAUGGUCAUCAACAGUUAAAAUGCACAAUACAAAUCAACAGUAGAGACUACUUAUGCAACAUUGCUACAGGUCACCAUGUUCUAAGCCAAAGUGAGCACAUACAACACAGGGAAGAGAUGAGGACAGGAGAUGAGGAGCUGAGUUUGGUAGUGUCUGAGGGAGCAAUUUGGAGAGUGGUCUGCUCUGAACUGUUCCAAGGGAUCUCAUCUGAACUGGGAGGGACAACUUUUGCAUUCCCAUAGAAUGGCUAUAAAUUUCUUCCCUGUUAGCUCCCUCUCAUGAUUUUACCCACAGG
rnacentral:lncRNA from 1 species